GGCUAUGAUUAUUCAUAGCCGCGCCACACAGGUGGUGCAUGGUCGUCGUCAGCUCGUGUCGUGAGAUGUUGGGUUAAGUCCCGCAACGAGCGCAACCCUUGUCCUGUGUUACCAGCGGGUAAUGCCGGGUACUCACAGGAGACUGCCGACGAUAAGCCGGAGGAAGGAAGGGAUGAUGCCAGAUCAGUAUGCCCUUUAUGCCCUGGGCUACACAGGCGCUACAGUGGCAGGGACAAUGGGCUGCAACGCUGCAAGGCAAAGCUAAUCCCUUAAACCCUGUCGUGGUGCAGAUUGAGGGUUGCAACUCACCCUCAUGAAGGCGGAAUCGGUAGUAAUGGCGAAUCAGCAAUGUCGCCGUGAAUACGUUCCCGGGUCUUGUACACACCGCCCGUCACGCCAUGGGAGUCGGGUUCAUCGGAAGUCCCCAAGCUGACCUGCAAAGGAGGCAGGGGUCGAUGAUGGGCCUGAUGACUGGGGCGAAGUCGUAACAAGGUAGC
rnacentral:rRNA from 1 species